rnacentral:rRNA from 1 species
GAUGAACGCUGGCGGCGUGCCUAAUACAUGCAAGUCGAGCGAACAGACGAGGAGCUUGCUCCUCUGACGUUAGCGACGGACGGGUGAGUAACACGUAGCUAACCUACCUAUAAGACUUGGAUAACGUCGGGAAACCGGAGCUAAUACCGGAUAAUAUAUUGAACCGCAUGGUUCAAUAGUGAAAGACGGUUUUGCUGUCACUUAUAGAUGGAUCCGCGCCGCAUUAGCUAGUUGGUAAGGUAACGGCUUACCAAGGCAACGAUGGGUAGCCGACCUGAGAGGGUGUACGCCCACACAGGAAGUGAGACGCGACCCAGACACCUACGGGAGGCAGCAGUAGCGAAGCUUCGGCAAAGGGCGAAAGCCUGACGGAGCAACGCCGGGUGAGUGAUGAAGGGCUGCGGAUCGGAAAACGCUGUUAUGAGGGAAGAACAAAUGUGUAAGUAACUAUGCGCAUCUGGACGGUACCGAAGCAGAAGGCCACGGCUAACAACGU